CCUACGGGAGGCAGCAGUGGGGAAUAUUGCACAAUGGGGGAAACCCUGAUGCAGCGACGCCGCGUGAGUGAAGAAGUAAUUCGUUACGUAAAGCUCUAUCAGCAGGGAAGAAAAUGACGGUACCUGAGUAAGAAGCUCCGGCUAACUACGUGUCAGCAGCCGCGGUAAUACGUAGGGGGCAAGCGUUAUCCGGAUUUACUGGGGGUAAAGGUAGCGUAGACGGUGCGCCAAGUCUGGAGUGAAAUGCCGCAGCUUAACUGAGGAGCGGCUUUGGAAACUGGCGAACGAGAGUGCGGGAGGGGUAAGCGGAAUUCCAAGUGUAGCGGUGAAAUGCGUAGAGAUAAGGAGGAACACCGGUGGCGAAGGCGGCUUACUGGACCGUAACUGACGCUGAGGCGCGAAAGCGUGGGGAGCAAACAGGAUUAGAUACCCCUGUAGUC
rnacentral:rRNA from 1 species